CCGGGGCUGGGGCCGAGGCAGAGUAAAGGGGCGCCGCCGGCAGCAGCCGCCCCCGCCCCGCGCUCCAGGCCGCCCUCCUCCCCCGGGACGUCGGGGCGUGUGCGAGCCACGCGGGCGCCUUCGCCCGGGGCUUCCCCUCCUGUGGUCCGCUCGGUUCUGCUUCUGAAUCCAUCCAGGGUCCGGGAUGACGAUCCGACACCAAGGCCAACAGUACAGGCCGAGGAUGGCAUUUGCAGAAGGUUUCCAAGCUGCCGGCUGGUCCCGAAGAAUCAGCAGUGUUUGGGCGGAAUGUCGGAGGGUGCAGAGCUUCCUGUGCGCUCAGGCACGACUGUUCCGAGGGUGUUCCACACCCUUUCUCCCAGCGGCUCCCACUAACUCCGGUGAUCCACAGGGUCACCUGCACGUGAAUGCCCCCCGUGUUGCCCUCCUUCCUUCCCCUGGCUCACUUCCCGACUACCCACUGCCGCUUCCCGGGAUCAGCCCUCUCACCAACACUAUGAGGUCCCAUUACUAUCCCCAAUUUUACAGCACGUGUAUCCUGGCUGGUUUAUGCACCUGUAGAGUUAGGGACAUGGAAUGAUCAAGAGGAUGAAUUCUGGAACUGGACUGCCCUGGGUUCACGUCUCACGUCUCAGCCCUGCCGUGAAUCAGCAAUGGGACCUCUGGAGAGGACCUUGGCUCCUAUGCGUCCCUCUGUACCUACCAGCAUACGGGCUACAAUGAUUAAUCAUUCAGUAGAACCCGCUGGCCAGCUCCUUCUGUUUUGUCUUGCAGAUUGAAGAAUCAGCGAAAGACACACAGAGCCAGAGAUGGGGCCCAAAACGUAAAGCCAGAGGAUCCUGUGAUUACAGAAUCAGGGGCCCUUGCAACACACAGGUGGCAUCGUCUAUGGCACAGGCCAGGGCCAGGGUAGACUACAGUUUUCUACAAAUUAAUUCAAACUGGAGGGACAGAACUCAGGGGGAGGGAGGAAGGAAGGAAAGGUGAAUUCAGGGUCACUUUUGAAAUCACUUUCCCUGAAGUCAUCAUUUUAUGAAUCUAUCAAGAGACAUGCAUACCUUGGAGAUAUUGUGGGGUUGGUUCCUGACCACUGUAAUAAAGCAAAGAUUGCAAUAAAGCGAAUCAGAUGAAUUUUUUGGUUUCCCAGUGUAUGUAAAAGUUAUGUUUACACUAUACCGUGGUCUAUUAAAUGUGCAAUAGUAUUAUGUCUGAAUAUGUGAUGUACGUAUCUUAAAAAUACUCUAUUUUAUUUAUUUAUUUAUUUAUUUAUUUAUUUAUUAAAAGAUUUUAUUUAUUUAUUUGACAGAGAGAGAGA